UACAGAGGUCUCAAGCGUUGUUCGGAUUCAUUGGGCGUAAAGGGUGCGUAGGUGGCGUGGUAAGUCGGAUGUGAAAUCCCGGGGCUCAACCCCGGAACUGCAUUCGAUACUGCCUUGCUAGAGUACUGGAGAGGAGGUUGGAAUUUACGGUGUAGCAGUGAAAUGCGUAGAUAUCGUAAGGAAGACCAGUGGCGAAGGCGGAUCUCUGGACAGUUACUGACGCUGAGGCACGAAGGCCAGGGGAGCAAACGGG
rnacentral:rRNA from 1 species